CUUUCUGCUCGCGAUUGUUUCCGAUUUCCGGAUCAGCCCCUAAAAGACACGCUAUGUGAGAAGUUUCGAAAACACAAACGCAAUUGAGUGGGUGACAAUGGGCAACGAAAAUGCCAACUGACACCGUGACAUAGUGUUCAACCACCACACGGAUUAAAAUGGUUUCGGAAAGGACGAACCCAAGUCGAGAAUGCGAUAGAACAAUGACCUGCGGAUACAGUGUAACUUUC